GAUGUAGCUCAGUGGUAGAACACUUGCCCAGCAUGUACAAGGCCUUGGGUUCAAUCCCCAACACA
rnacentral:tRNA from 1 species